GACGAACGCUGGCGGCGUGCUUAACACAUGCAAGUCGAACGGAAAGGCCCCUUUGUGGGUACUCGAGUGGCGAACGGGUGAGUAACACGUGAGUAACCUGCCCUUGACUUCGGGAUAACUUCAGGAAACUGGGGCUAAUACCGGAUAGGAAUCCUUGCUGCAUGGUGGGGGUUGGAAAGCUUCGGCGGUUUUGGAUGGACUCGCGGCUUAUCAGCUUGUUGGUGGGGUAGUGGCUUACCAAGGCUUUGACGGGUAGCCGGCCUGAGGGGGCGACCGGCCACACUGGGACUGAGAGACGGCCCAGACUCCUACGGGAGGCAGAAGUGGGGAAUAUUGAACAAUGGGCGGAAGCCUGAUGCAGCAACGCCGCGUGCGGGAGGACGGCCUUCGGGUUGUAAAACGCUUUCAGCAGGGGCGAAGCUUGUGGUGACGGUACCUGCAGAAGAAGCACCGGCUAACUACGUG
rnacentral:rRNA from 1 species